GCAGGUCUGCGACGUGCGUGAUGGCUGUACCGAUUUGUUGAACCAACACUGGACCUCCGGGAGCUCUCGUCGUCCUGCUGGUGAGCACGUCCCCGGCGGUGGCUCCGCCUUGGCGGACCACGGUUUGGGAAAGCCUGAAGGCAGGCGCAGGGCACCCACCUGGUAGCGGGGUUCAGAAUCGAGCACCACACGGCGAAGCGGAUC
rnacentral:other from 1 species